AAGAAGGCGCAACUGUGCUUUGCUUGCGCUCUCGUACCUAUUCCUAAACAUCUUUGAAUCUCCAACGCUAACGUAAAAGCAAACGUGAAGUGAGGCCACAAGUCCCCAUACAUUUAGUGUUUUUGUAGAGGGCUUUAGCUUCCCCCACAAGUGUUCCUGCAGAGAGCGAACGUACGCAUUAACCACUUGCGUCAUACUGCCUUCUAGACAAAGUUAUAAAAGAUCAACAUCUGACUCCUGGAAGCUUUUAAUCUGAGCAACUUAUAAAAAGCUAUGAAUGUUCAGUAUACUCAUACUUAUUUUCUGUUCCUGUGGUCUACAUUUUGCUUCGCAACCAGACAGGAAAACACUAUCAGACCAGGUGAACAUAACGUCAGAGAGAGUGAUGUCAAAAAGUUGCUGAGUAGCCACCAUCACCUCAUCAUAAGCCGGGGAAUUUAUCAGAGCCCGGACUAUCCACUCUGCGUGCGAUCUCACUUGAUAUCAGCUUCGGAUGUUACAUUUCGGCACAAGUUAAGCUAUCAAGAACGGGAGUUCAAGGAACGCCUACUAUCACGUGAAGCAGAUGAGAACCGUCGUCUUAUUUGUCGCCAACGCCUUCAUCGGUGCACACCAAGUGGAUCCCCGAGUGUCUGGAAGCUACAAUAUCUAUUUUGCUAAUGAAAAAUGCUUUGUCGCUGGAACACAUUUACCUGGUAACACAUCGACAUCUGAAAUCAACGCUGUCCGGAGUCCCACAGGAAAUGCCGCAUGCUUACUUUGGAGAUAUGCGAGCACAAAGGAGCAAGAGAGAAUUUCAUGUAGGGCCGCCUUCAGGCAAUUCUGCAGCAGAUACCAAGGACAUAAAGUUUACUAUACCAAGGAAAUAUGUGGCAGGUAAAACUACGUAAGGUAGGCCUUUCGCGUGCGGUCCAAAGCUGAAUAAAACUUUUUAUUU
rnacentral:misc_RNA from 1 species